rnacentral:rRNA from 1 species
CCCUUAGAUGUUCUGGGCCGCACGCGCGCUACACUGAUGCAUUCAACAAGCCUAGCCUUGACCGAGAGGUCCGGGUAAUCUUUGAAACUGCAUCGUGAUGGGGCUAGAUUAUUGCAAUUAUUAAUCUUCAACGAGGAAUGCCUAGUAAGCGUGAUUCAUCAAAUCGCGUUGAUUGCGUCCCUGCCCUUUGUACACACCGCCCGUCGCUCCUACCGAUUGAAUGUGUUGGUGAGGAGCUCGGAUUGGCAGCAGUUGGUGGUUCGCCACCGGCUAUUGCUGAGAAGUCCUCCAAACCGCCCCAUUUAGAGGAAGGAGAAGUCGUANCA